CUCGUAGACUCCUACGGGAGGCAGCAGUGGGGAAUAUUGCACAAUGGGGGAAACCCUGAUGCAGCCAUGCCGCGUGUGUGAAGAAGGCCUUCGGGUUGUAAAGCACUUUCAGUAGGGAGGAAGGUAGUGUAGUUAACACCUGCAUUAUUUGACGUUACCUACAGAAGAAGCACCGGCUAACUCCGUGCCAGCAGCCGCGGUAAUACGGAGGGUGCGAGCGUUAAUCGGAAUUACUGGGCGUAAAGCGCAUGCAGGCGGCCUGUUAAGUCAGAUGUGAAAGCCCCGGGGCUUAACCUCGGAAUUGCAUUUGAAACUGGCAGGCUAGAGUCUUGUAGAGGGGGUAGAAUUUCAGGUGUAGCGGUGAAAUGCGUAGAGAUCUGAAGGAAUACCAGUGGCGAAGGCGGCCCCCUGGACAAAGACUGACGCUCAGAUGCGAAAGCGUGGGGAGCAAACAGGAUUAGAUACCCUGGUAG
rnacentral:rRNA from 1 species